UUGAAUGCGAAUAUAUAGCUUGCGCAUGGUUUGUUAAUUUCACUUGUUAGAAAUGUAUGUCAUUACAAUAAAGUAAUAAAUAAUUACGGUGAUUACACCAUCAAAUGAUCAUUUUGCACUUUCUAGAUGUGACAACAGUGACUCACUUCCAAAAAUAAAUUGGGUACCAUUAGUUUAGAGUAAAAAAUAAAACUUAUUCAAUGUCAAAACAAUUUAUAAGUUGCUGUUUGCUAAUUUACAAUUCAAAAUUUGUUUUCUUUUAUUGUCGGGCCUGGAAACUGACUUGUACUCCAUUUUCUGCUUUAAGCGCCAUUUUUAUUGAUAAUUUUACAUCUUCAAUUGUUUUCACCGGAGUAAAAAACUUGUAUUUUCUUAAUAAUGUCGCUAAAGAAGCUUUCAAUGUGAUCCAUAUACCAAGUUCUUGCUCCAGCCAGAAACGGAAUAUAAGUAAAUUUCUCCUGUUUAGCCACACUACUUGGAGAAAAACGUUCUGGAUCAAAUUUUAAAGGAUUCUCCCAGUACGAUAUAAUGGCGAUCGAUGCAUCUUCAAAGGAUAAAGCACAAGUUGUGUGCUUUUGGAACAAUAUUACCGUCUAAUUCAAACUCAUCUUCGGCAACUCUAGCGACAAUGGGCACUGGCGGGAACAAACGUCGAUCAGCACCAAGAACAUCCAAUAAUUCUUGAUAGAUUUUUUCCUGUAUUUCUUGAUGCAUAGCCAAUGAUAAAAUGGCAAAAGAUACACCGGAAGCACAUGUCUCAAACUCCUGACAAAUAAAUUUAAUUAAAUAUUUAA